UCUCUGCCCUCCCUCUUUGCAUAGAGACCCUGUGCAUUCCUGUGCUCCCCAUCACAGCACUUCAAGGGCUGCAUUGCAUUAGCAGCUUUACUUCCUGGAUUCUUUCCAGAACCAUAAAACGCCUUGCAGGAGAGAUGCCCGUCAUGAUGUCUCUAGUGCUUACUUCAUUAUGGAUGCUAAAAAAUACCAGAAGAAUGGAUGAAUGAGGAUACCUUGCAGACCUGUUUUUGCUUGUCUAUUUCCUGAUUCUAAAUUCUGAACAGGGAGAUCAAUUUGCCCUGCUGGAAUCAAUUCCCAUCCUUGGUCUGAUGUGCUGAGCAGCGUGUGAAAGUCAGGGUGGAGUUUCUUAGAGAGGCAGGGGCACACUUACCAGUGUCUUUCACUGAAAUGAUGGAAAUAAAUUUUGCUUUUCAAAAGCAUGGGUUGUGUAAUGCUCACUAGUUCAUACAACUCAUGUAUGAAUUAGGUAGGUAGCUCAUCCUAAAGAGAUAAAACGUAAAAGCUACAGUCAUUUCUUGUUUAUGGACUGGUCCUUCAGUCCAUCCCCCAGUGUUAUGGAGUUUCUGCUAUGUACACAGCUCUGUGCCCAGUGCCAGACAGAUAGGAGGAAAGGAUCAAGAUCUCUGCCUUCAUGAUGCUUACUUAAAAAGAUACACAAAUGCAACAUUUUCGUUAUAAAAUUUAACUGGGGGAAAAGACUAAUACAACAAAAGAAUAACGAGAGUGGAAUAUAAUUCAGAUGGGGGGGGGCGUGUCCAGGAAGGAAGGCAGUCUGGAAAAGAAUUACAAUAAAGCUGAGGCCUGGCUCUCCUGGGAAGAAAGCCCCAGGGGAGAGCUGGGGAGGCAGGACUCAGUAGAACGGGGACCUGCAUGGAAUUACUAUGACAGUCAGUAGUCUGGGACAUUUUAGAGAUGGAAUUGAUUAUUCAUCUAAUAGGUUGUAUAUAAGGGUGAGUCAAAAGAUUUGGCAAGAUGAAUGAGUUCAGGUUAAGUCCACGAAUGUCCAAGCCAGACGGCCUGAGUUUCUGUCUUAGGGUUUCUAUGACUGUGAAGAGACACCAUGACUAUGGCAACUCUUGUAGAGGUGGCAGCUUACAGUUUCAGAGGUUUAGUCCAUUAUCAUCAUGGUGGGGAGCAUGGUGGUAUACUGGCAGAUGUGGUGCUGGUGAAGGAGCUGCUACGGGUUGAUAUACAGGCAACAGGAAGGGGUCUGAAUGUCACACUGAGGGAAGCUUGAGCAAAGGAGACCUCAAAGCCUCCACAGUGACACACUUCCCCCAACAAGGUCAUACCUACUCCAACAAGGCCACACCUCCUAAUAGUGCCACUCCCUUUGGUGGCCAUUUUUUUUCUAAUCCUAUUGAAAAGCUGUGUAACUUUGGGCACGUUACUUAGCCUCACUGUGCCCUGGUUUCCACUUUGACAAAAUGAGUGAUAAUCAUCGCCAUUACCUCAAAGAUUUGCUGUGAAGAUUAAACAACUUACAAUCUAUGAACCUUUUUGACCAUUGUGAGCAUGUAGGUUUUGUUUUUUGAUUGCUGGGGUACAGAGUGAUCGAGAUGGAGUCUUUUGUAGCCGACGCUGGCCUCAAACUUACUAUGUAGCUGAGGAUGACCUUGAACUCCUAUCUUCCUGCCUCCACACCACCACACCCAGCUCUGCAAGUAGAUUUUCUUGCAAACUGAAACAGAGAAGUAACCUUCCAGAUCUCCGGGGUGAUCACCGCAGCAUGAGAAAAUGAGUCUGGAUUCCCAGUACCUACAUAAAAAGCCACAUGCAGCAGCCUGCAUGGUAUUCCCAGCACUAGAAAGGAUUCCUGUGGCUUGCUGGUCAACCAUUCAAGACAGCUCUGGAAGAGCUGCACUAACUGAGAGCUUGACAUUUAUUGAGAGAAGAAAAAAAAGUAUCUGGGUGGUGAAGACCAGAGUUCAGCUUAGCAACCAGCCUGGGAUUGCUACAGACCUCCGGAGUAUCUAUCUUUGGCUAUGAUUCAGAUCUCAAAAGAGAUGCUUGGGCAGGAAAUGUCAAUCUUCAAGGCCUCAACAUAGCUAGUGCUUAAAGCUGAGGGUACAGAAAAAGCCAGGGAAAGGGUAUAAAGAAGUAAGGUAGGAGCUGGGCGGUGGUGGCGCAUGCCUUUAAUCCCAGCACUCUGGAGGCAGAGGUAGGCAGAUUUCUGUGAGUUCGAGGUCAGCCUUGUCUACAGAUGAGUUCCAGGACAGUCAGGGAUACACAGAGAAACCUUGUCUCAAAAAACAAAGAAGGAGGAGGAGAAGGAAGAAGAGGAAGAGGAAGAGGAGGAGAAGAAAGCCAGACUCCCAAGCCAGGAUGCUGCUGGUACCUGGAAUAGCUGGGAAGCUGUUUCAGUAUUCCUGGAAGUGUGACUGGAUGAGAAACAGCUUGCAGCCCACCAGGAUCGGGGUUCAGACAUUCCUUUGUUGGAUAGGGGCAUCUCCCAUCCCGCCCAGAUAAAUGUCCUCGGAGCUUCACUAUGACAACAGAAUCACCACCACACAGCUAACAGAGCCCAAAACAGGCGAUGAAGCAUCCUGCUCCUCCACUCCCAGGUUCCAUCUCAGCUACAAGGACAGUCAAUGCCUUAACUUAUUUUUGAGAUUAUUAUUUAAUUAUGUCUCUCCCUUUCCUUUCCUCCCUCCAAACUCUCCCAUAUACCCUUCCCAUUUGCCUUCACAUUCAUGGUCUCAUUUUACUAGUUGUUACCGCAUGCACAUAUGCAUAUUCACAUAUAUUUUAAAAUAUAACCUGUUCCGUUCAUGUGUUACUUGUAUGUUCUCAGGGCUGGAUUUUUGGCACUGGACAACCAAUUGGUGUGCUCUCCCCUGGGUAAACCCCUCCCAGUCUUAGCUUUUCUCAGCUGCCUGUAGUUCUUUGUACAGGGUUGAUGCCUCCUGGCUUUGCUCUGUCCAGUUUGGGCAUGUUCAUCAUUUAAGUUCUCAAUUGGUCCUUGAUUCC